GACGAACGCUGGCGGCGUGCUUAACACAUGCAAGUCGAACGAUGAAGCCGGAGCUUGCUCCGGUGGAUUAGUGGCGAACGGGUGAGUAACACGUGAGCAAUCUGCCCUUGCCUCUGGGAUAACUGCGGGAAACUGUAGCUAAUACCGGAUACGACACCUUGGGGCAUCCGAGGGUGUGGAAAGAAUUUCGGUCAAGGAUGAGCUCGCGGCCUAUCAGAUUGUUGGUGAGGUAAUGGCUCACCAAGGCGACGACGGGUAGCCGGCCUGAGAGGGUGACCGGCCACACUGGAACUGAGACACGGACCAGACUCCUACGGGAGGCAGCAGUGGGGAAUAUUGCACAAUGGGCGAAAGCCUGAUGCAGCAAAGCCGCGUGAGGUAUGAAGGCCUUCGGGUUGUAAACCUCUUUUAGCAGGGAAGAAGCGAAAGUGACGGUACCUGCAGAAAAAGCACCGGCUAACUACGUGCCAGCCGCCGCGGUAA
rnacentral:rRNA from 1 species